rnacentral:rRNA from 1 species
GAUGAACGCUAGCUACAGGCUUAACACAUGCAAGUCGAGGGGAAACGGCAUUAAGUGCUUGCACUUUUUGGACGUCGACCGGCGCACGGGUGAGUAACGCGUAUCCAACCUUCCCAUGACUAAGGGAUAACCUGCCGAAAGGCAGACUAAUACCUUAUGGUCUUCACUGACGGCAUCAGAUGUGAAGUAAAGAUUUAUCGGUUAUGGAUGGGGAUGCGUCUGGUUAGCUUGUUGGCGGGGUAACGGCCCACCAAGGCAACGAUCAGUAGGGGUUCUGAGAGGAAGGUCCCCCACAUUGGAACUGAGACACGGUCCAAACUCCUACGGGAGGCAGCAGUGAGGAAUAUUGGUCAAUGGGCGAGAGCCUGAACCAGCCAAGUAGCGUGCAGGAUGACGGCCCUAUGGGUUGUAAACUGCUUUUGUAUGGGGAUAAAGUCAGUCACGUGUGAUUGUUUGCAGGUACCAUACGAAUAAGGACCGGCUAAUUCCGUGCCAGCAGCCGCGGUAAUACGGAAGGUCCGGGCGUUAUCCGGAUUUAUUGGGUUUAAAGGGAGCGUAGGCUGGAGAUUAAGUGUGUUGUGAAAUGUAGACGCUCAACGUCUGACUUGCAGCGCAUACUGGUUUCCUUGAGUACGCACAACGUUGGCGGAAUUCGUCGUGUAGCGGUGAAAUGCUUAGAUAUGACGAAGAACUCCGAUUGCGAAGGCAGCUGACGGGAGCGCAACUGACGCUGAAGCUCGAAGGUGCGGGUAUCGAACAGG